UCCCAUGGUCUAAGACAGUGGUCCUCAAACUUUUUACACCACGUACCACCUCAGAAAAUAUUUGACUCUCCAAGUACCACCAUUAUGACCGGGUGGGGUGGGGGGCAAUUAUUUUUCCUGGGGGGCCACAUGAGAAACCCAGAUUGUUGCCAGGGGCCAAACAAAUUCUGUCAGACGUAACCUCUAUUUUAUCACUACAUUAAUUUAUAGAAAACAUACUGAGCACUUAUUUUUCAGCAUUUAUUCUACUGAAAAUCACUCCAAACAGCAGAUUAUUAA